UACGUAGGUGGCAAGCGUUGUCCGGAAUUAUUGGGCGUAAAGCGCGCGCAGGCGGUUUCUUAAGUCUGAUGUGAAAGCCCCCGGCUCAACCGGGGAGGGUCAUUGGAAACUGGGGAACUUGAGUGCAGAAGAGGAAAGUGGAAUUCCAAGUGUAGCGGUGAAAUGCGUAGAGAUUUGGAGGAACACCAGUGGCGAAGGCGACUUUCUGGUCUGUAACUGACGCUGAGGCGCGAAAGCGUGGGGAGCAAACAGG
rnacentral:rRNA from 1 species